UUAUAGCCCAGAUGGCAGUGAAAAGCACGUAGAUUAUAAAACUUUAAUUUUCUUGAUAGAAAAGAGCGACCAGCGGAAGCUCCUUUUAUAACUUAGAAAAUAGUUUUACAAGCAAGUACUUGUAGCGUACAGCUGGAAAUUGC
rnacentral:misc_RNA from 1 species